rnacentral:rRNA from 1 species
CAGUAGCCGCGGGAAUACGUAGGUCCCGAGCGUUGUCCGGAUUUAUUGGGCGUAAAGCGAGCGCAGGCGGUUAGAUAAGUCUGAAGUUAAAGGCUGUGGCUUAACCAUAGUAUGCUUUGGAAACUGUUUAACUUGAGUGCAGAAGGGGAGAGUGGAACUCCAUGUGUAGCGGUGAAAUGCGUAGAUAUAUGGAGGAACACCGGUGGCGAAAGCGGCUCUCUGGUCUGUAACUGACGCUGAGGCUCGAAAGCGUGGGGAGCAAACAGGAUUAGAUACCCGCGUAGUCCCUGUCUCUUAUACC